UACGGGGGGGGCAAGCGUUGUUCGGAAUUACUGGGCGUAAAGGGCGCGUAGGCGGUUCGCUAAGUCGGAUGUGAAAACUCUGGGCUCAACCCAGAGCCUGCAUCCGAAACUGGCGGGCUAGAGUUCUGGAGGGGGUAGCGGAAUUCCUGGUGUAGCGGUGGAAUGCGUAGAGAUCCGGAGGAAGACCGGUGGCGAAGGCGGUCUGCUGGGCAGUUUCUGACACUGAGGCGCGACAGCGUGGGGAGCAAACAGG
rnacentral:rRNA from 1 species